rfam:Oryza glumipatula chromosome 3, whole genome shotgun sequence.
AUACUUACCUGGACGGGGUCGACGGCCGAUCAAUAAGGGCCGUGGCCUAGAUCAAUGGCUCACAUUGCACUUGGUGAGCGCGUUGGUUUACCAUCUCCCCAAGUGGGAGAGUGGACGUCAUAAUUUGUGAUAGAGGGGGUACGCGUUCGCGCGGCCCCCGC